rnacentral:hammerhead_ribozyme from 1 species
AUCCAGAUGAAGAGUCCCAAUCAGGACGAAACAUGUGUCCUGGAU